GCAUGGGUUAUAGAGUAAAGGGGGAGAAGCAAAAAUAGAUCCUCCUACAGCAAAAAGGAUAGUGAGUCCCAUAACAAGAAAGAUAAGGAGAAAUUCAAAGGUCGGUCAAAGUUCAGAAAAGGUAUUACUUGCUACUAAUGUAACAAGUCAGGAUAUUUUCAGAGAGAGUACAGAAAGUACAAGAGAGAUCAGAAUAAGAAUAGUGGAAAGAAAGAAG
rnacentral:lncRNA from 1 species